UUGGCCUCCCUUCAGGUAGGGAUGCCCGCCCGCCUUAC
rnacentral:rRNA from 1 species